AUUGAACGCUGGCGGCAGGCCUAACACAUGCAAGUCGAGCGAGCGGCGGACGGGUGAGUAAUGUCUGGGAAACUGCCCGAUGGAGGGGGAUAACUACUGGAAACGGUAGCUAAUACCGCAUACCAUCAGCUGCGCCCAGAUGGGAUUAGCAAGUGGGUGGGGUAACGGCUCACCUAGGCGACGAUCCCUAGCUGGUCUGAGAGGAUGACCCGCCACACUGGAACUGCGACACGGUCCAGACUCCUACGGGAGGCAGCAGUGGGGAAUAUUGCACAAUGGGCGCAAGCCUGAUACAGCCAUGCCGCGUGUAUGAAGAAGGCCUUCGGGUUGUAAAGUACUUUCAGCGGGGAGGCGUUACCCGCAGAAGAAGCACCGGCUAACUACGUGCCAGCAGCCGCGGUAAUAC
rnacentral:rRNA from 1 species